rnacentral:tRNA from 1 species
GUUUCUGUAGUGUAGCGGUCAUCACGUUCGCCUAACACGCGAAAGGUCCCCGAUUUGAAACCGGGCGGAAACA